CAUAAUUUGAACUCAUGUGAUUGUACUAGCUUCUUGAGCUAGAUUCUCGAUUAUAAAGUUAUCUUUGUGAAAUUCUGGAUGUAUUUACUAGUACUAUGAUAGAUCGCACUGAAGUCCUUCAAGAAUAAAAAAAAACCAAGGCUAUACUGAACUAGUGCCAUUAUUUAUUAGGUCGUUAAUAUAAAAGUGACGCGGCGCCACGUCCUUUUGUGGGACUGUUUUGUAUUUGUGCACACGCCAAUUUCGCGGCUGCUUUUGUCCAACAUAGAAAACCCACGCUGAAGUCAGUGAAUCCGACCGAUGACUUCAUGAGUAUCAAGGCAGGUCUGUUUCGACCCGGAAUUUUAACUGCGCUACGAGAACAUUUUCCAUGGCGGCGAAAAGAUGACAUGCGCGGAGCCGAGAUGCAUCAAACGAUCAUCUUUCUCAACCAAUCAAUGGACUGAACAUUCAAACACGACGAUAUAGAAUUGAAAUUGGGAUUGGGACGAUAUAGAAUUUGAAGUGCAGAUUAGUUGCGGAACACGUAUCGACCGAUACUUUGGGUCGAGCUACACUGGAUCCUAAAAACCAGGUCCAGUGUUCUACGCGAAAACAGUUCUGGUUAGUUAUCGUGUAUAGCAGAACGUCUACGUUGGGGACCCCCUCGACUAUCCUCCAAAUAAGUUCCUAAUCAUAGCAAGAUCUCCGAAGAAGAAGCUGAGAAGUUCAUACGUCAUCACAUUGCUUCCAAGGGCCUAAAAUGAUUUUUCGUUGUGUGGAGCCGGCCGUAUGUGACCGCUUUAAGCGACUUCUGGAAAACUACUAUCUGCAACCUUGUUCUGUAAUACGGAAACUCAUUCGAAAGUCACUUAAAGCGUGCGUUUCGUGGGUUAAACAUUCCCCAUCGAUAAUCUCGUUCCUGGGAUAGACUACACGGUUCGUAUGACAGCAGCAAUAUCUGAGAGAUACGCGUCAGAGUGCUCCUUCGGUUGCUUCAACACGCCCACGUAUCCCAUAUACCGCGUAUACCGAAAAACGUCAGUUUUCGCUAAUGCAGUAUUACUCUAUGCUACACAGAUUGAAAGUUGUGUCUAAGAAGGCCCAACAAUAUAGUUUUAACUAACGGCCCUACUCACAGGUUCUUUGAAAUUAUGCUUCUUUGGGAACUGGGUUGGAAAGAUUUCUACAAAUGGGGA